UUGCCCUGCGCACGGCCACGUUCCCCACCCUCGUUUCCACUCUCCUCGCUCGCUCCUCCGUGUCGCCGCACCCCAUCGCCGGCGUCGUCUUGCUCUCGCGCCCCACCUCAUCGCCGGCGUCUUCUUCCUCUCGCGCCCCCGCGGCGCCGCCUUGCUCCCCACCACCCUGUUUCCUCUCGCAUCCCGCCCUCAACGACGCUUGUAGUCAGAGCUCAAAGGUCGCAUUUUUUUUGCUCUGGCUACGUGCUCCUGGGUGAAGAGGCACUACUCCGGCGUAGAUCUGCGUGUGCCAGCGACGUAUUGCUGGGCGGGAGGCCCUGGAUUUGCGUGCGCCGGAAACGUAUUGCUCGGCGGAAGGUCCUGGAUUUGCGUGCGGCGACGAUGUGCUGGAGCGCAAGGAUGCAAUGGAUCUGCCUCAGGAGCAACUGGAGCGCAAGGACGCGCAUAGCUGAGGCAAGGCGAGGAAGGAGGGAGAAACCUGACGCGGAUGCCACCGGCGGCCGCGGGAGAUCUGGCUGGUGUUCUCAGACGUGGGGUUCGGUUUCUCGUCCUAGUCGCCGCCGGGUACUGCCUGCCGCUGCAGCCAACGACGCCAUCCACGCCCAUUUGUUUCUGCAGCUUCUGAUGGUGUCAAGGCGUGGGAAAUACUGAAAGCAAAAUCAUUCAAGAUAGACCUUGUUCUAACUGAAGUCAAACUUCCUUUGAUGUCUGGGUUCUUGCUACUCUCCACGAUCAUGGAGCAUGACGCUUGCAAGAAUAUCCCUGGUAUAAGUAUGUGCUCAAUUUAUGCCGUGUUUGAUUGAAAAUGUGGCGGCCUGCAGAAAUGGGGAAUGCAGUGAACAAGAAAGUUAUGCUCAAAUCAUGAAGAAGGGCGGUCUCAAGGACUCUUUGCCUGUUGUAGAAAAAUGUGGAAUGAUGUUUUAUCGAAAUUACACAAGGAAAUUACAAUAGCACUACUCGUUAGCCUUUAUGCUAUUUCGUCGGCCGGAGCUACGCAGGCGAGGCGCCGCAACGCAGUUCUGCGGCUACGCCGUCGACUUCCUCGACAAGGUCUCCGGCACCAUCAAGAUCGUCCCCAUAGCCUCCAACAAGUAAAUAAAUUCAUAUCCACAUGAGCACCAUAUGGACAUCAUCUUCUUCGGGUGGAGUGAAAUUCAAGUCUGGGAGCACCAUAUUGAUCCUGAGUGCUACUGCUUCUGCUAUUUGUUCAGGUACGAGGAUGCUGUUGUUGUAAUGUGUUCCUGCUCGUAUAUUUGUUCAACAUAGGCUCUGAUGUCUGCUGCUGCUCUCUGUGCGAGGAGCACCUGUGCGUGAGGCUCUUGGUGAGUAAGAACCUGGGAGCCGGUCUUCGACAAAGAGGCGAGGAGCACCUAGCGAGGAGGUUGUCGUCAAGGAGGAGGCGAAGCACACCUAGGUGAGGAGCUGCCUGGGCCGGAGGUGAUCGUCCUCCAGGAUGGUCCUGGGCGAGGACCUACCUGGGCCGGAAGAGAUCGUCCUCCAGGAUGGUCCUGGGCGAGGACCUGCCUGGGCCUGAGGAGAUCGUCCUCCGGUAGCACCUUGCGCGGGAGACCUUCCUCCAAGAGCACCUUGGC